rnacentral:rRNA from 1 species
GACGAACGCUGGCGGCGUGCUUAACACAUGCAAGUCGAACGGAAAGGACCUGCAUUUGUGGGGUGCUCGAGUGGCGAACGGGUGAGUAACACGUGAGUAACCUGCCCUUGACUUUGGGAUAACUUCAGGAAACUGGGGCUAAUACCGGAUAGGAGCUCCUGCUGCAUGGUGGGGGUUGGAAAGUUUCGGCGGUUGGGGAUGGACUCGCGGCUUAUCAGCUUGUUGGUGGGGUAGUGGCUUACCAAGGCUUUGACGGGUAGCCGGCCUGAGAGGGUGACCGGCCACAGUGGGACUGAGAUACGGCCCAGACUCCUACGGGAGGCAGCAGUGGGGAAGAUUGCACAAUGGGCGGAAGCCUGAUGCAGCAACGCCGCGUGCGGGAAGACGGCCUUCGGUUUGUAAACCGCUUUCGCCUGUGACGAAGCGUGAGUGACGGUAAUGGGUAAAGAAGCACCGGCUAACUACGUG